GAUGAACGCUGGCGGCGUGCUUAACACAUGCAAGUCGAACGGAAAGGCUCCUGCUUGCAGGGGUACUCGAGUGGCGAACGGGUGAGUAACACGUGGGUGAUCUGCCCUGCACUUCGGGAUAAGCCUGGGAAACUGGGUCUAAUACCGGAUAGGACCACAUUUUGGAUGGUGUGGUGGAAAGUUUUUCGGUGUGGGAUGAGCUCGCGGCCUAUCAGCUUGUUGGUGGGGUAAUGGCCUACCAAGGCGUCGACGGGUAGCCGGCCUGAGAGGGUGUACGGCCACAUUGGGACUGAGAUACGGCCCAGACUCCUACGGGAGGCAGCAGUGGGGAAUAUUGCACAAUGGGCGCAAGCCUGACGCAGCGACGCCGCGUGGGGGAUGACGGCCUUCGGGUUGUAAACUCCUUUCGCUAGGGACGAAGCGCAAGUGACGGUACCUGGAGAAGAAGCACCGGCUAACUACGUG
rnacentral:rRNA from 1 species